rnacentral:rRNA from 1 species
GACGAACGCUGGCGGCGUGCUUAACACAUGCAAGUCGAACGGAAAGGCCCUGCUUUUGUGGGGUGCUCGAGUGGCGAACGGGUGAGUAACACGUGAGUAACCUGCCCUUGACUUUGGGAUAACUUCAGGAAACUGGGGCUAAUACCGUAUAGGAGCUCCUGCUGCAUGGUGGGGGUUGGAACGUUUCGGCGGUUGGGGAUGGACUCGCGGCUUAUCAGCUUGUUGGUGGGGUAGUGGCUUACCCAGGAUUUGACGGAUAGCCGGCCUGAGAGGGUGACCGGCCACAAUGGGACUGAGAUACGGCCCAGACUCCUACGGGAGGCAGUAGUGGGGAAUAUUGCACAAUGAGCGGAAGCCUGAGGCAGCAGCGCCGCGUGUGGGAUGACGGCCUUCGGGUUGUAAACCGCUUUCGCCUGUGACGAAGCGUGAGUGACGGUAAUGGGUAAAGAAGCACCGGCUAACUACGUG